CAGGCCAUGAGUGCCAUCGCCACCAUGAGUUACCACCGCAGCCCAGCUUUGGCCAACGUGGUGGCACUGGUCCCAGCUGGGGGCCCUGAGCAGAGCAUCAUGCCUCUGCCCUCUCUCCCCUUGCAGCAGAGCACGGCUGCUUCCCAAGAAGGAGAAGAACAGUCUCCUGCACACCUCCAUCAGCACUGUCCUCCAUCUCCCUCACCACGAGGAUGACACAGACUGGGAUGCUGCAUCCUGCAUGGAGAUGAGUAUGGGCUGAGCCCUGGGAAUGCUUCCUGGACACCACCACCUGGGAUGCCCCUCUGCUGCCAGGAUGGCUGCCCUGCACCCUGUCCUUCUUGCAGACCAUGGAGGCCCUGCACCGCCUGCUGCAGGGACUAGUGGGCAGUGCCAGCACCACUGUCCCCGUGGAGCUGCAGAACAUCUUGGAGCUCCUGCUGCCCUUCACCAUGGGCCAGCUGGUGGCCGUGGAGGAGAGGGCUGCGAUGUGCACUGGCAGGCUGCUCGCCUUCACCAACACCUGCUCCUUGCCAGAGCUGUGCUACUGCUUCACGGGAACCGCCGUCUUCCAGCACAGGUGCCAGGAGAACCAACGCUUCCCUGUGCUGGGGAAGCUGGCCAGGCACCUCCUCCUCUCCUGCACCUCCACGCAUGAGAGGACCAGAGACGAGGCGAUGAAGGCUGUCCAUCAGCUUUUCACCUUCAUCACCACCUCAAGACUGUCGCUGGAGCACAAGGAGCCCAAGGUGCCACAGGUUUGGGAGAGGCAGCUAGCUUUGCUCCACCACGAGGCUUCCCCUGAGAACAGAGCCGUUGCUAUCUUUCAGGUACAAAGAGCAAACCCUGAACCCACAGGAGAACCCAGGCCUGCAGUGUCAGAAAGAGUGCAGGCGCUUUCCCCAAGCAGCCCUGGUG
rnacentral:lncRNA from 1 species